rnacentral:tRNA from 1 species
GGCCUGUUAGCUCAGUUGGCAGAGCGUGGUGCUAAUAACGCUAAGUUCGUGAGUUUGAUCCUCAUACAGGCCA